rnacentral:rRNA from 1 species
CGCGGCCUAUCAGCUUGUUGGUGAGGGUAAUGGCCCACCAAGGCUAUGACGGUUAGCGGGUGUGAGAGCAUGGCCCGUCUCACUGGGACUGAGACACUGCCCAGACUCCUACGGGAGGCUGCUGUCAAGAAUCUUCCACAAUGGCCGAAAGGCUGAUGGAGCGACGCCGCGUGCAGGAAGACGCUUUUCGGAGUGUAAACUGCUUUUAUUAGGGACGAAACAAUGACGGUACCUAAUGAAUAAGGGGCUGCUAACCUCGUGCCAGCAGCAGCGGUAAUACGAGGGCCCCAAGCGUUAUCCGGAUUUAUUGGGCGUAAAGGGUCCGUAGGCGGUCAAGCGCAUCUUCUGUCAAAUCUAUCGGCUCAACCGAUAGGCUGCGGAAGAGAUGGCUUGACUAGAGGCCGGAAGAGGCGAUCGGAAUUGCUGGUGUAGGGGUUAAAUCUGUUAAUAUCAGCAGGAACACCAAAUGCGAAGGCAGAUUGCUAGAACGGUUCUGACGCUGAGGGACGAAAGCGUGGGUAGCGAAUGGGAUUAGAUACCCCAGUAGUCCACGCCGUAAACGAUGGGUGCUAAGCAUUGGUAGUCUCGACCCUAUCAGUGCUGUUAUAUUCAAGCUAACGCCUUAAGCACCCCGCCUGGGGAGUACGG